GCCUGCAUGGUACAAUGGUAUGAGCACUGGACUAGAACUCCAGGAGAUUAGGAUUCAAAUCCCCAUUCAGCCA